CUGGUUGAUCCUGCCGGACCUGACUGCUAUCGGAUUGAUACUAAGCCAUGCGAGUCAUUGUAGCAAUACAAGGCAGACGGCUCAGUAACGCGUAGUCAAUCUACCCUAUGGACGGGAAUAACCUCGGGAAACUGAGAAUAAUACCCGACAGAACAUUAUACCUGGAACGGUUUAUGUUUCAAAUGAUUUAUCGCCGUAGGAUGGGACUGCGGCCUAUCAGUUUGUUGGUGAGGUAAUGGCCCACCAAGACUAUUACAGGUACGGGCUCUGAGAGGAGUAGCCCGGAGAUGGGUACUGAGACACGGACCCAGGCCCUAUGGGGCGCAGCAGGCGAGAAAACUUUGCAAUGUGCGAAAGCACGACAAGGUUAAUCCGAGUGGUUUCUGCUAAAGAAACCUUUUGCUAGUCCUAGAAACACUAGUGAAUAAGGGGUGGGCAAGUUCUGGUGUCAGCCGCCGCGGUAAAACCAGCACCUCAAGUGGUCAGGAUGAUUAUUGGGCCUAAAGCAUCCGUAGCUCGUUUUGUAAGUUUUCGGUUAAAUCCAUACGCUUAACGUAUGGGCUGCCGGGAAUACUGCAUAACUAGGAAGUGGGAGAGGUAGACGGUACUCGGUAGGAAGGGGUAAAAUCCUUUGAUCUAUUGAUGACCACCUGUGGCGAAGGCGCCCUGCCAGAACGAAUCUGACGGUGAGGGGCGAAGGCGUGGGGAGCGAACGGGAUUAGAUACCCCGGUAGUCCACGCAGUAAAGGAUGCGGGUUGGGUGUUGGGUGCCCCUCGAGAGCACCUUGUGCCGUAGGGAAGCCGUUAAACCCGCCGCCUGGGAAGUACGGUCGCAAGGCUGAAACUUAAAGAAAUUGGCGGGGGAGCACUACAAGGGGUGGGACCUGCGGUUUAAUUGGAUUCAACGCCGGG
rnacentral:rRNA from 1 species